CUAUCCCGAGUGCCAUCCGCUGAGGAAGGCUUUUACCCAGUCUAGAACGCUGGGGGAAUAAGGAGAGGGCAAGUCUGGUGUCAGCCGCCGCGGUAAUACCAGCUCUCCGAGUGGUGUGGAUGUUUAUUGGGCCUAAAGCAUCCGUAGCUGGCUAGGUAAGUCCCUUGUUAAAUCCACCGAAUUAAUCGUUGGAUCGCGGGGGAUACUACUUGGCUAGGGGACGAGAGAGGCAGACGGUAUUUUCGGGGUAGGGGUGAAAUCCUAUAAUCCCGGGAAGACCACCAGUGGCGAAGGCUGUCUGCUAGAACGCGCCCGACGGUGAGGGAUGAAAGCUGGGGGAGCGAACCGGAUUAUAUACCCGGGUAGUCCCAGCUGUAAACGAUGCACACUAUGUGUUUGGACGGCCACGUGCCGUUCUAGUGCCGCAGGGAAGCUGUUAAGUCUGCCGCCUGGGGAGUACGAUCGCAAGAUUGAAACUU
rnacentral:rRNA from 1 species